rnacentral:rRNA from 1 species
UACGGAGGGUGCGAGCGUUAAUCGGAAUCACUGGGCGUAAAGCGCGUGUAGGCGGCCUCUUAAGUCUGAUGUGAAAGCCCGGGGCUCACCCCCGGAAGUGCAUUGGAGACUGGGGUGCUGGAGUACCGGAGAGGAGGGUGGAAUUCCUGGUGUAGCGGUGAAAUGCGUAGAUAUCAGGAGGAACACCGGUGGCGAAGGCGGCCCUCUGGUCGGAUACUGACGAUGAGACGCGACAGCGUGGGGAGCAAACAGG